rnacentral:sRNA from 20 species
GACGCCGGAGGCCAACGCCCGACAGCGCUGUGCGCCCUCGGGCGUAAACGUG